GAAGCAACGCGAAGAACCUUACCAGGUCUUGACAUCCCGUUGACCACCCCCAGAGAUAUGGUUUCCCCUUCGGGGGCAACGGUGACAGGUGGUGCAUGGUUGUCGUCAGCUCGUGUCGUGAGAUGUUGGGUUAAGUCCCGCAACGAGCGCAACCCUUGAUCUUAGUUGCCAUCAUUUAGUUGGGCACUCUAAGGUGACUGCCGGUGACAAACCGGAGGAAGGUGGGGAUGACGUCAAAUCAUCAUGCCCCUUAUGACCUGGGCUACACACGUGCUACAAUGGACGAUACAAACGGUUGCCAACUCGCGAGAGGGAGCUAAUCCGAUAAAGUCGUUCUCAGUUCGGAUUGUAGGCUGCAACUCGCCUACAUGAAGCCGGAAUCGCUAGUAAUCGCGGAUCAGCAUGCCGCGGUGAAUACGUUCCCGGGCCUUGUACACACCGCCCUGUCACACCACGAGAGUUUGUAACACCCGAAGUCGGUGAGGUAACCUUUUGGAGCCAGCCG
rnacentral:rRNA from 1 species